AAGGGGAGUGAAAUAGAACCUGAAACCGUGUGCUUACAAGUAGUCAGAGCCCGUUAAUGGGUGAUGGCGUGCCUUUUGUAGAAUGAACCGGCGAGUUACGAUUUGAUGCAAGGUUAAGCAGUAAAUGUGGAGCCGUAGCGAAAGCGAGUCUGAAUAGGGCGUUUAGUAUUUGGUCGUAGACCCGAAACCAGGUGAUCUACCCUUGGUCAGGUUGAAGUUCAGGUAACACUGAAUGGAGGACCGAACCGACUUACGUUGAAAAGUGAGCGGAUGAACUGAGGGUAGCGGAGAAAUUCCAAUCGAACCUGGAGAUAGCUGGUUCUCUCCGAAAUAGCUUUAGGGCUAGCCUCAAGUGAUGAUUAUUGGAGGUAGAGCACUGUUUGGACGAGGGGCCCCUCUCGGGUUACCGAAUUCAGACAAACUCCGAAUGCCAAUUAAUUUAACUUGGGAGUCAGAACAUGGGUGAUAAGGUCCGUGUUCGAAAGGGAAACAGCCCAGACCACCAGCUAAGGU
rnacentral:rRNA from 1 species